rnacentral:rRNA from 1 species
GUGCCAGCAGCCGCGGUAAAACGUAGGACGCGAGCGUUAUCCGGAGUUACUGGGCGUAAAGGGCGGGCAGGCGGUCGUGCAAGAUGGGUGUGAAAUCUCCCGGCUCAACCGGGAGGGGCCACUCGUGACUGCGCGGCUGGAGGGCAGCAGAGGCGCGUGGAAUUCCGGGUGGAGUGGUGAAAUGCGUAGAGAUCCGGAGGAACACCAGAGGCGAAGGCGGCGCGCUGGGCUGCACCUGACGCUGAACCGCGAAAGCCAGGGUAGCGAACGGGAUUAGAUACCCGAGUAGUCC